GACGAACGCUGGCGGCGUGCCUAAUACAUGCAAGUAGAACGCACAGUUUAUACCGUAGCUUGCUACACCAUAGACUGUGAGUUGCGAACGGGUGAGUAACGCGUAGGUAACCUGCCUGGUAGCGGGGGAUAACUAUUGGAGACGAUAGCUAAUACCGCAUAAUAUUAAUUAUUGCAUGAUAAUUAAUUGAAAGGUGCAAUUGCACCACUACCAGAUGGACCUGCGUUGUAUUAGCUAGUAGGUGAGGUAACGGCUCACCUAGGCGACGAUACAUAGCCGAACUGAGAGGGUGAUCGGCCAAACUGGGACUGAGACACGGCCCAGACUCCUACGGGAGGCAGCAGUAGGGAAUCUUCGGCAAUGGACGAAAGUCUGACCGAGCAACGCCGCGUGAGUGAAGAAGGUUUUCGGAUCGUAAAGCUCGGUUGUAAGAGAAGAACGGGUGUGAGAGUGGAAAGUUCACACUGUGACGGUAUCUUACCAGAAAGGGACGGCUAACUACGUG
rnacentral:rRNA from 1 species